rnacentral:lncRNA from 1 species
CUUUUUUUCUUUUUUUCUUUAAAAAUAUAUCUUGUGUAAAAUAAAUCAAAUAAUUUUAAACUUUAUAAAUUUUAUGAAAGAUAAAACAAAACCUUUGAUUAGUAAUAGAAGAAAAGUUAAACCCUUUUUUCCAUACUGUAUCAAAGUAAUUAAAAAAAAAAUCCAAUUGCAGUCAGAAUUUGCAUUGGAGGAUUGCUGUUUUAAUGAUGUCACAAUUAUCGGUACUGGCAUGAAAAUACGGAUUUUUUUUUUAUUAAAAUUAACUGUUACAAAAUGAUAGAAAUUAUUAUAAAUUAAGGAAUGUAUCUCCCUCAUGCAAAGCUCUGAUUCCUAUCACGGAUUUGGCUAUACUUUUUGGACCUUUUGGAUUAUAGCUCUUCAUCUUUUAUAUAAGCUUUGGAUUUCAAAUGUUUUGGCCACGAGCAUCACUGAAGAGACAUGUAUUGUCGAAAUGCGCAUCUGGUGCAAGAACAUUGGUACCGUUAAUUCAACUUAAUUGUAUUAUCUUUUAAAUGAAUCAAUUUAGAAAAGUUACAUAUAGGAAGUGUUAGAAAUAGGUUUUUUUAAUUACUUUAUUUUGACUGUAAAAACUGAUUUUUACUGUAAAUGAGAUCCACUGGGUCAAGGUACUUAUAAUUACAUUUAUAGCUGAGCUCUUUCAAAUGGUAGAGAUACCCCACUAUUUAUACAUGUAUAGGUAAAAGUCAUAAUAUUAUUGUCAUGUUCUACAAAUAAAUGUAUUGUUACAGUUAAAAUUUAAAAAAUGUAUUGUUACAGUUAAAAUUUAAAAAAUGUAAAAAUUGAAAAUACAGAAAUAAAAAUAUUUAAAAAC